CAACUUGUGGAUUAGAUACCCCGGUAGUCCACGCCGUAAACGAUGGGUACUAGUUGUCAGGAGAGUAGUCUUUUGGUAACGCAACUAACGUAUUAAGUACCCCGCCUGGGGAGUACGGCCGCAAGGUUAAAACUCAAACGAAUUGACGGGGGCCCGCACAAGCGGUGGAGCAUGUGGUUUAAUUCGAUGCAACGCGAAGAACCUUACCUGCCUUUGAAAUCUUCGGAACGGUCCAGAGAUGGACU
rnacentral:rRNA from 1 species